GCAGGUGUGGUGGAACUGGCAGACGCGCUGGACUCAAAAUCCUGUGGUAGUGAUACCGUGUGGGUUCGAUUCCCACCACCUGCACCA
rnacentral:tRNA from 1 species